rnacentral:rRNA from 1 species
GAUGAACGCUGGCGGCGUGCCUAAUACAUGCAAGUCGAGCGAACAGACGAGGAGCUUGCUCCUCUGACGUUAGCGGCGGACGGGUGAGUAACACGUGGAUAACCUACCUAUAAGACUGGGAUAACUUCGGGAAACCGGAGCUAAUACCGGAUAAUAUAUUGAACCGCAUGGUUCAAUAGUGAAAGACGGUUUUGCUGUCACUUAUAGAUGGCUCCGCGCCGCAUUAGCUAGUUGGUAAGGUAACGGCUUAACAAGGCAACGAUGCGUAGCCGACCUGAGAGGGUGAUCGGCCACACUGGAACUGAGACACGGUCCAGACUCCUACGGGAGGCAGCAGUAGAGAAUCUUCCGCAAUGGGCGAAAGCCUGACGGAGCAACGCCGCGUGAGUGAUGAAGGUCUUCGGAUCGUAAAACUCUGUUAUUAGGGAAGAACAAAUGUGUAAGUAACUAUGCACGUCUUGACGGUACCUAAACAGAAAGCCACGGCUAACUACGUG